rnacentral:rRNA from 1 species
UACAGAGGGUGCAAGCGUUAAUCGGAAUUACUGGGCGUAAAGCGUGCGUAGACGGUUGCGUAAGUCAGAUGUGAAAGCCCCGGGCUCAACCUGGGGAUUGCAUUUGAGACUGCGUAGCUAGGGUGCGGAAGAGGGAAGCGGAAUUUCCGGUGUAGCGGUGAAAUGCGUAGAUAUCGGAAGGAACACCAGUGGCGAAAGCGGCUUCCUGGUCCAGCACCGACGUUCAGGCACGAAGGCCAGGGGAGCAAACGGG